rnacentral:lncRNA from 1 species
AGAAUAAUCACUGCAUUGUACUUUAGGAGAUGACAAAGAUAUAGCAUUAAAAUAACCAUACAGAACUCUAAGUAAAUCCUUGGAGCACAAAAAUAUUAGUGCUCCCGCCCAAAAAGAAUGUUCAGUAUGUUACUUUGUUUUGUGUUGUUUUUGAGGUACUGGGGCCGAGAAUUGAACCCAGGACCUCAUAAGUGGGAAGACAGCACUCAACCACUGAGCCUUAUCAGCUUCCCUGAGUUGGUUUUAUCAUUUGUUUUGCCUGUUGCUUGUUGAUUUUUUUUUCAGGAGUCACUGAGAAUCACACUUGGAACUUCCCAUGUGGGAAGCAGGUACUCAAUUGCUUGAGCCACAUCUGCUCUGUCUGGUAUGUUACAUUUGCUCAAAGUAUGAGGAGGUAUUUAAUUCCAGUCUGGUGAUUGAAAUGGACUCUGUGAUGCACUGCUCAGAUCCCUGUUCAGGACUGAAGGACUUACUCCCACAGUGGUGAAGAGUGAUGCUUCCGCGCUAGGAACUUCCUCAGCUGGAGGUAAUUGAGUCACCCAAAGUCAUAUUCUCUCCCAGCCCACAUCUUGUGGCUAGUUAAUUCAGG